CCACCAGUGACUGAGCACAGACCAGCACCAUGGAGCUGGGGCUGCGCUGGGUUCUACUUAUUGCUCUGUUGAAAGGUGUGCAGUGUGAGGUGCAGCUGGUGGAGUCUGGGGGAGGCUUGGUGCAGCCUGGGGGGUCCCUGAGACUCUCCUGUGCAGCCUCCGGAUUCACCUUCGGUGAUUACUACAUGGACUGGGUCCACCAGGCUCCAGGGAAGGGGCUGGAGUGGGUUGCAAAAAUUUAUAAAGAUGGUGGUAGCACAUGGUACCCAGACUCUGUGAAGUGCCGGUUCACCAUCUCCAGAGACAACAGCAAGAACACAGUUUACCUGCAGAUGAACAGCCUGAGAGUGGAGGACACCGCCGUCUAUUACUGUACUAGAGACACAGUGCAGGAAAUCCAGUGUGGGCCAGACACAAACCUCCCUGCAGGGCGCUCAGCACCAGCAGGGGGCACUCAGCACAGCUUGGAGCCAGUCCUCUGCUGGGACUUUAAGAAUGAACAGAGUAUCACAGUGGAAGCAAAAAUGGCUCUGCAGUGUGGACCAGUAUUUGAUCCUGACGAAGCUCAGGGACCCUGGUGA